rnacentral:rRNA from 1 species
UACGUAGGGUGCGAGCGUUAAUCGGAAUUACUGGGCGUAAAGCGUGCGCAGGCGGUUUUGUAAGACAGGUGUGAAAUCCCCCGGCUUAACCUGGGAACUGCGUCUGAUACUGGACGGCUUGAGUAUGGGAGAGGGAUGUAGAAUUCCAGGUGUAGCGGUGAAAUGCGUAGAUAUCUGGAGGAAUACCGGUGGCGAAGGCGGCAUCCUGGACCAUUACUGACGCUGAGGCGCGAAAGCUAGGGGAGCAAACGGG